rnacentral:rRNA from 1 species
UACGUAGGUGGCAAGCGUUGUCCGGAUUUAUUGGGUUUAAAGGGUGCGUAGGCGGCCUAUUAAGUCUGUUCUGAAAUAUCCCGGCUUAACCGGGAGGGUGGGAUUGAUACUGAUGGGCUUGAGUGGAGUCGAGGUAGGCGGAAUUGACGGUGUAGCGGUGAAAUGCUUAGAUAUCGUCAAGAACACCGAUAGUGUAGACAGCUUACUAGACUUCAACUGACGCUGAGGCACGAAAGUGUGGGGAGCAAACAGG